GGCAUGGGGUAAGAUGGUAAAAACACCUGGAUGGGGUUAAUUGAGGAGGGGUCAUAGUUACCCUCUUUAUUUCCUGCAAAAGAGAAAUUGGAAGAAGGAUUAAAUCCCUAAAAUCCCGUUUUCCUCUUCUUCUCUGGCGGCGACGGAAGCACGGAACUGGUCAUCUCCGGUGACGAUCGGCUGAGACGUCUCGACGAUGGCGAGGCUUUGAACGCCGUCCCUUUUUGAAUCUCCUCUCAGCUGUUGAUUCUCCUUCUCUAGCGGCGAGUUCUCAUCCUCCAUUGGCGGCCCCGAAGCGGUUGAUGGCGAUAUGCGAGUGGUGUAUGUAUGGGAGUUCAUGGUUCUCCUCCUCCCAUUGGUUUGAGUCAUUACAGCUAUGAUUCACAGUGGCACUUUGCGGUGGUGAAAGGAAAGCUAUGGGUGGCCGAAACCACUCCAACCGAGGGGCCUUGGUAAUGAUGCGACAUUGAGGCCGCAACACAACACCAAUGGAAGCAGGGAGCUUCGGGGUUGCCCUUGGAGACAUCACUAUUACCCCUGGAGAUAUUGGGGUCAUUAACUAGUCCCCUUUGCCACGUUACAUUUCUCUAACAGUGGUCCCAUGAACUCAACUGUUAUUGGAUCUCUCUUGGUCAACUUCAAUGUUUACAUCAUUACUGCCUUAGCACACCUGGCCACAAUGGAAAAACCUUUUUCUUUAACUUUUGUGACCCUGGGAAUAUGGUCAUCUUUUUUGUAAUUGCCAUAACAAAAAGUUCAGCUAGCUUGGGUUGUUUUACUAUUGGGAGCAAUAAGGCACUAAUUCCCGAUAUGAUGCACGAUUGUAUGACCACUUUGUUGUGAUUAAUUACCAUAUGAUUAUGCAAGUUACCAACGAGAUAAUAUAAUCACAAAGUUCAUAAUAAAAUUACUCCAAAGGUACCACUUCUUCCCAC